UGUAACGGAUCACCUGGCACCCCGACUGGGUACCUCCGUUGAAGGAUGCUCCUAGCGCUUCCUGAGGGCUCCAAGCACUCUGGCAGACACCACAAUCACCGAACCGGAGAAAAAAAUAAAUUCUCCCAAGCAUUUGAAUGCUGUAGACAGUUGAAUAGGAACCAUACGAAUAGGUUUACUCUCCUAGCAGUCAAACUGGAACAGCAUACAACGAAUCCUUCCCCCAAUAAUGAGACGACACUUCACUUUGAGCGUUAAAACAGGAACUCCCUGUACUGUCACAUACAGUCUCUUUUAUUCCCAAUCCACAAACAUAGUACAGCCCACAGGGC